rnacentral:rRNA from 1 species
GAACCAGUACUGUGAAGGAAAGGCGAAAAGAACCCCGGGAGGGGAGUGAAAUAGAACCUGAAACCGCAUACAUACAAACAGUAGGAGCCCGUGUAGUCGGGUGACUGCGUACCUUUUGCAUAAUGGGUCAGCGACUUACGUUUUGUGGCGAGCUUAACCGAGUAGGGGAGGCGUAGCGAAAGCGAGUUCGAAUAGAGCGAGAAGUCUCAAGGCGUAGACCCGAAACCAGAUGAGCUAUCCAUGGCCAGGUUGAAGGUGUGGUAACACACACUGGAGGACCGAACCGACUAGUGUUGCAAAAUUAGCGGAUGAGCUGUGGAUAGGGGUGAAAGGCUUAACAAAUCUGGAGAUAGCUGGUUCUCCCCGAAAACUAUUGAGGUAGUGCCUCGUGUAUUGCUCCAGGGGGUAGAGCACUGUUAUGGCUAGGGGGACAUGGCGUCUUACCAAACCAUGGCAAACUCCGAAUACUUGGAAGUAAGAGCACGGGAGACAGAGCACCGGGUGCUAACGUCCGGACUCAAGAGGGAAACAACCCAGACCGCCGUUUAAGGUCCCAAAUAUUGACUAAGUGGAAAACGAAGUGUGAAGGCUAAGACAGUCAGGAAGUUGGCUUAGAAGCAGCCAUCCUUCAAAGAAAGCGUAAUAGCUCACUGAUCGAGUCCUCAUGCGCGGAAGAUGUAACGGGGCUAAGUCAAUAACCGAAAGCGCGGAUUUGUACGAAAGUACAAGUGGUAGGGGAGCGUUCUGUAAGCCUGCGAAGGUGGUUCGAGAGGACUGCUGGAGGUAUCAGAAGUGCGAAUGCUGACAUGAGUAACGUUAAAGCGGGUGAAAAGCCCGCUCGCCGUAAGCCCAAGGUUUCCUGCUCUACGUUCAUCGGAGCAGGGUGAGUCGGCCCCUAAGGCCAGGCUGAGAAGCGUAGUCGAUGGGAAGCAGAUUAAUAUUUCUGCACCAUGUGCAAGUGCGAUGGGGGGACGGAGUGCGAAAGAUCAUCCGGGUGUUGGAUGUCCCGGUUUGUGAGUGUAGAAGGCCGACAGGCAAAUCCGUCGGCGGAUCUUCGAGACAAAGCAUCGAGGUUCUACGGAACCGAAGUGAUCGGAAGUGCUUCCAGGAAAAGCCUCUAAGCUCCAGCUUGCAUGUGACCGUACCGUAAACCGACACUGGUGGGCGAGUUGAAUAUACUCAGGCGCUUGAGAGAACUCGGGAGAAGGAACUCGGCAAAUUGACACCGUAACUUCGGGAUAAGGUGUGCCUUUGUAGCGUGAAGAGAGAAACACUCGGAGCGUGAAGAGGCCUCAGAGAAUCGGUGGCUGCAACUGUUUAUUAAAAACACAGCACUCUGCAAAGACGAAAGUCGACGUAUAGGGUGUGAUGCCUGCCCGGUGCUGGAAGAUUAAGUGAUGGGGUGAGAGCUCCUGAUCGAAGUCCCAGUAAACGGCGGCCGUAACUAUAACGGUCCUAAGGUAGCGAAAUUCCUUGUCGGGUAAGUUCCGACCUGCACGAAUGGCAUAAUGAUGGCCACACUGUCUCCUCCCGAGACUCAGUGAAGUUGAAAUGUUUGUGAUGAUGCAAUCUCCCCGCGGCUAGACGGAAAGACCCCAUGAACCUUUACUGUAGCUUUGCAUUGGACUUUGAACCGAUUUGUGUAGGAUAGGCGGGAGGCAGAGAAAGCGCAACGCCAGUUGUGCCGGAGCCGACGUUGAAAUACCGCCCUGAUUUGUUUGAGGUUCUAACCGCGACCCGUGAGCCGGGUUCGGGACCGUGCAUGGCAGGCAGUUUGACUGGGGCGGUCUCCUCCUAAAGGGUAACGGAGGAGUGCGAAGGUACGCUAGGUACGGUCGGAAAUCGUGCUGAUAGUGCAAUGGCAAAAGCGUGCUUGACUGCGAGACCGACAAGUCGAGCAGAUGCGAAAGCAGGUCUUAGUGAUCCGGUGGCUCUGUAUGGAAGGGCCAUCGCUCAACGGAUAAAAGGUACUCUGGGGAUAACAGGCUGAUACCGCCCAAGAGUUCAUAUCGACGGCGGUGUUUGGCAC